UGUACAUGCUGCACAGUGUGCUCUUAUUGUUGAGUCAGCAGCACAACCUCGCACAGUCUCCACUCUCCUGUGAAACGCAGCACUGCACGACAACACCGCAGUGCCGUCAGUUCCAAGUUCAACUCUCCCAACAAUGGAAACAGCAGAGCUGCUCCCUGCAGAAGAGACACACCUCACAAUUACACAAUCCAGCUAUGUAACUCAAUCUUAAUCCAAACACACACACACACACACACACACACACCCUUAGUGACCCGUUCUCCUACCAAGGAUGUGUGGAAAGAAAUGCCAAAUUAAAAAUGUGAGAAAUGCAGCGGGAGUGCAAACGUCACAGGUUGGAAAUGAAGUGAUGGAUGAGACCACUGCAGGAAAGAGGGUUCAAUUUUUGAUCGAGGCAACAAAUUAAAACAGGUGAGGAAAUUAAAAAAGAAAAAAAAAGCCUUUCCACAUUCUAUCCCUGUGGUGACAGAAUGUGGAAGGAUCCAAAUGGUUAAAAGUAGUGAAACAGUGGUGUGCAUGGGAAUGUGUCUGAAACUCACCGAACAACAUCACAAAUUUGUGGCGAGCAACAGGAAGGUAAGAAGGAUGCUAUUCCCUUUAUGAAUGCAAUACUACCUCGACUACAUACGACCAGCAGCUGCAGCUUUAAAAAAAAAAAAAAAAAAAAAAAGUUCUCGUUGUUGGAUUUGUGUUUUAAAGUCAUACUUUAAUUUUACCCAUUGUACUAAGUGGACAAGUCCACUCCUUAUUUUAAAUGCAUAAUCACAUUGGCCAACUCUGUUUGUAAAAGCCCAACAUUAGUCUGCAAUUGACAUCGAAAUGUUUACAUGUGCAUUGAGCCAAAGAUAUUAAUAAAAAGACGAGCUCUUAAGUCAUAAUUAGAUGUCCAACUGCCAUUUAAGUUUCACCUGCAAACAUACCUUGAUUUCAGAAGGCACCUUGAGCACUACGGCUGACAGUUCUGCGAAUUUGUAUUUUCCUAUUUCAAAAAAAGCACAAAACCACAACGCUUCAGUGCAAAGUGCAUCUUAAGCUGCACUAAGCAGCUGCUGUCACAUGAUGUGCCACAACUGAAGUGCUCAUCGCAUUUUCUACACCGUUUUAGGCACAACAGACAUGCUGCUAUGUGACCAAGGUUAUACAGAGGACACACAAAGUAAGUGACUAGUCAGUGAGAAGUUACUGAAUAGUCUGCCUCAAGUUGGCGAGAGUGAAUAUCUGGUAGACAAAUAAUAAAAAUAAAAAACUUGCUGCCUAAAAGGAAACUGACAGCAUUUUCAGAAUUAGGUAACUAAAAAAAAUACCACUAAGUUGAUAAUACUUCUGUACUGUAAAAGUGAAGCUAAAGGCACACUGCUAAUGCUCACCAACAAACCGUGUUGUCUCAUCUGAUGUAAAGUGUAAAAAUAAGAUUUAACACUUUUUUGUAUGUAGGACAGUUUAAUGGCCAGACUUUUUGUGUCAUUUCCCAAAAUAUCAAACUGAUGCACUAAUAAGAGCUUGCUACUCACACAAAUUGAGAAAUAAUAGUAAAUCUGUUGCAGCAACUCUGGUCUAGGUUGUAGACGGGUACAUAAAGGUUAGCUCAACACAAUGUUAGCUGGCUCAGCAAAGUCUAAAACCCUCAUUGGAGAUAACAUGCAACGGCGGAUAUCAACUUCAUCUUAUAAGCUGGGCUUUCCUCUUCAGACUGUCUGCAUGUUCAAAUUUAAAAAAAAAAAAAAAAAAAAAAAGUUAUCAGAUGAUGGGAAAAUGGUGAUAAUAGAAAUGUUGAAAUUUACCGGAAACUGCAACACUGUCAUAUCUUGUAAGACAGGAAGUUAAUGCUGCAAAAUAUUACUUAGAUUUGUUAAAAAUAUAAACAUUUUAAAACUGGUCAUUUUACUGUAGCAUGAAUGCUCAGUGCUGGUUGUUUCAAAAGCUGCUGGACUGCACAUUAGACGGCUGAAACAUCAAACAGAAUACAGGGAGUGCAGAAUUAUUAGGCAAAUGAGUAUUUUGUCCACAUCAUCCUCUUCAUGCAUGUUGUCUUACUCCAAGCUGUAUAGGCUCGAAAGCCUAC
ensembl:lncRNA